rnacentral:SRP_RNA from 1 species
GCCCGGCAUGGUGGCGCAUGCCUAUAGUCCCAGCUGUUCGGGAGGCUGAGGCUGGAGGAUCGCUUGAGUCCAGGAGUUCUGGGCUGUAGUGCGUUAUGCAGAUCGGGUGUCCGCACUAAGUUUGGGAUCAAUAUGGUGACCUCCUGGCAGCGGGGGACCACCAGGUUGCCUAAGGAGGAGUGAACCAGCCCAGGUCACAAACAGAGCAGGUCAAAACUCCCGUGCUGAUCAGUAGUGGGAUUGCGUCUGUGAAUAGCCACUGCACCCCAGCCUGGGCACCAUAGCGAGACCCCGUCUCCU